GAACACAUUGUCUGGCAAAGAAUUUCUGAUGAGCUGCUUCAGGUUGAGGCGUGGCUUUACAUAAAAGGAGCAGCAGGUAACAGCUGCGUCUGUAGGUUUGCAAUCCAGGAGACAGGUUCGAAGUGUUAAAAUGGAUCGAGAUCGCUGUGGUGGAAGAGGAGGCCAUGGUAAACAUGGUGAACAUGGUAAACAUGGUGAACAUGGUAAACAUGGUAAACCAGGUGGAUGCCGUAGACACAAACGUGGACCGAAUGGGAAAAAGAAGAACAAGAAAGGCCACAAGCAUAAGGCGUGUCACAAGAAGGGGAAGGACUGUCAUGGGUCCUCCAGCAGCUCCUGUAGCAGCAGCAGCAGCAGUGACUCUGACUAGAUGAAGACUCCUGGAUGAGAAAACAACCAGGAAACCUUCAUCCUCCUGCCUUACACAAGAAUUUCAAGUUCUUAGUCAAAGUUUUUUGUAUCUCAAAAGUGUGUAUGUUCUUGGAAUAAAAUACUCACCCAAUCAAUAAAGAAAAAACAGAUGGUUU